CCUACGGGCGGCAGCAGUGAGGAAUAUUGGUCAAUGGACGAGAGUCUGAACCAGCCAAGUAGCGUGAAGGACGACUGCCCUAUGGGUUGUAAACCUCUUUUAUAUGGGAAUAAUGUAUAGUACGUAUACCGUUUUGCCUGUACCUUAUGAAUAAGGAUCGGCUAACUCCGUGCCAGCAGCCGCGGUAAUACGGAGGAUCCGAGCGUUAUCCGGAUUUAUUGGGUUUAAAGGGGGCGUAGGCGGGCGGUUAAGUCUGUUGUUAAAGUUUGGGGCUCUACCCUGAAUUUGCAUUUGAUACUGGAAGUCUGGAGUGCAGACGAGGUAGGCGGAAUAAGUGAAGUAGCGGUGAAAUGCUUAGAUAUCACGUAGAACUCCGAUAGCGAAGGCAGCUUACUAGACUGCGACUGACGCUGAUGCACGAGAGCGUGGGUAGCGAACAGGAUUAGAUACCCUUGUAGUC
rnacentral:rRNA from 1 species